rnacentral:lncRNA from 12 species
CUCAGGGCAACCAGAGCGAGGUUCGCACAGACAGGUGCAGGGGCUGUGAGCUUCCAAUCCCAAAACGGGUCACCCCGUAGUUUGUCUGAGUCUGGACAAAGCCGCCAGGCGCAGGCAGGAAACGCGGACACAAGGCCGCUCGCCGCCGCCCUCCAGCCCCCUCGCUCGGUAGAGCGUCCCCGCCCCCGUCCCCGCCCCCGUCCCCGUCCCCGCCCCCGUCCCCGCCCCUGUCCCCGCCCGGUGUUGGGAUUCCGGGGCGGGCGGGCGGGCCCGAGGGGACGUCGGCGCAAUCCUUCCCGCCCUGGGGCAGUGCUUCCAGGACCGCGGACCCACCCAGGCCCGGGCUGCGGGCUUCAGCCGCUCCUACUGCGCCGCCGCGCCGCCUGGGCACGUAGCCCAGCCCGACCUCUCCGGGCCUCGGCCUCCGGCGUCUCCAGCGCCGCUGACCCCAGAGAAAGCGCGCGGCUCACGCGCCCCGCAUCACAGCGGGUGGAAGGGGUCCGCCCCCGCUGCAGGCGCCACCGCGGGUGCCCGGGGUCCCAGAGGACGUGCUGGCGGCUGCUCCGAAGCCCCAACUCUGCGCACCCCCGCGGCCACCGGCCCUGCGCGCGAGCCCCCGUCUCCCCCUUGGUCCGCUCUCGCCGGCGACGCCCGUCCUCCUGGCCGCCGAGCCCCCGCCUGUGCUGCUGGCUGUGGAAGGGCCGCGGUGGCCGCGAACCCGCGUCCCUCCCCUCCGCCGUGGCGACCCGGGCCGGGCCUGCCGCCGUACGCGUGCCGCGCGCGCCCUCUGGUGGCCGCUCCCCGCAGCUGCCCUGUCCUCGCGGCGCGGCGCGCACUGAUGGGAGCGGAUGGCCAAGGGCCAAGGGCCGGCGCUGAAACCUCGGAAUGCCUAAGAUUCCAAAGGUCAAUUCGAUCAGAGGCAGCAGCAGAAACAACCAGGAACCAACCGACACACCAAAUAGUACCUAGUUCCAUGUUUGUGGCAAGGAAGAAUCUGCUCUAGACCUUCAGGUACAGAAACCAUCAUUGUGUUUUCUCUUUGUACAUUGAACUAAAUCAGACUCGUGGAGAUAUGUAUCCUUAGUCACUGCUGGAGUUCCUUGUUUCUGUCUAGGAAUUCCUACAAGCACCCCAACCUUGCUGGGGUUGUUCUCUUGCUGAGGCAAGAGAACUUGCCUCUUCUCAGCUGCCUCCACUGUUCACACUGCUCUUUGCCUCCACCAUCCAGGGCUUAGAAGUGUCCAGCAGGAGCAUCACAGUCAAUGCCUAGUGCACCACUGCCUGAGAAGCUGCAUUUCUCAGAGAUUUGACUCUCUGGGAAUAUUGCAGCUAAAUGCAAUGUGAAUCUCUGCUCUUUCAGAAGCCUCCAAACUCCUGGGGGAAAGCUAACCCAUCCCCCCUCAAUUACCCACCUCCUUCUCUCCUGCCCCCCUCCAUCCCUGCCUGGUCUACUGGACCUGGAUUUCUCAAAUAAGACAUGGUACCGAUUGAUUUCAGGGUACCUGGAAACUUCAGUUUGAGACACCAACUGCAAAAGGCUUUCAAGACCCCAGAACAUGGAACGUCAGGAUUUGUUCUGUGUAAGAGAGGAGAGUUGGGGAAAAGUGGUGAAUGGUGAAGCCCAGGACUUACACUUUCAUUCCACAAAAUAUCUCAUGAGAGAAAAUUGGACUAAAGUAUAGGGCUAUAUGUGCUCAAAAACAUUUGUAAAAUAAAAGAAAAGUUUAAAGAAUAAAAGAAAAAUCU